UACGAAGGGGGCUAGCGUUGUUCGGAAUCACUGGGCGUAAAGCGCACGUAGGCGGAUCUUUAAGUCAGGGGUGAAAUCCCGAGGCUCAACCUCGGAACUGCCUUUGAUACUGGGGAUCUCGAGUCCGGGAGAGGUGAGUGGAACUGCGAGUGUAGAGGUGAAAUUCGUAGAUAUUCGCAAGAACACCAGUGGCGAAGGCGGCUCACUGGCCCGGAACUGACGCUGAGGUGCGAAAGCGUGGGGAGCAAACAGGGA
rnacentral:rRNA from 1 species